rnacentral:rRNA from 1 species
GACGAACGCUGGCGGCGUGCUUAACACAUGCAAGUCGAACGGUAAGGCCCUUCGGGGUACACGAGCGGCGAACGGGUGAGUAACACGUGGGUGAUCUGCCCUGCACUUCGGGAUAAGCCUGGGAAACUGGGUCUAAUACCGGAUAGGACCACUGCCUGCAUGGGUGGUGGUGGAAAGCUUUUGCGGUGUGGGAUGGGCCCGCGGCCUAUCAGCUUGUUGGUGGGGUGAUGGCCUGACAAGGCGACGACGGGUAGCCGGCCUGAGAGGGUGACCGGCCACGAUGUGACUGCGAUACGGCCCAGACUCCUACGGGAGGCAUCAGUGUGGAAUCCUGCACGAUGGGCGCAAGCCUGAUGCAGCGACGCCGCGUGAGGAAUGACGGCCUUCGUUUUGUAAACCUCUUUCAGCACCGACGAAACGCAAGUGACGGUAGGUGCAGAAGAAGGACCGGCCAACUACGUGCCAGCCGCCGCCGUAA